UUUUUACUGUCGAAUUCUCAUUCCAUGCAGGCCUCUAUUACGGGUGUGCACUGAAUACCCAUUCAGUAGAUAGGGCUCUGAAUUGGCUAUUCUUUGUCGUCCGUAAUAGCCUUCUACUUUUGAAGACAAAAAUCUCUUUUCAUCUGCCUUCUUCAUUUUCUCUAGAUGCUCCUGUUAGAGUGAGUAACAAAGUUGGAGGCCAAAUCUACUGCCAUUAUCGGUGAAUGAUCAGUUAACCUCCGAUUGUCGAAUUAACGAGAUUUAGUGCUUUCCAACAAGCUGGUUUUGUAUGAUUUGGAAAAUCAGACCAUUGGAUGGACUAAGUACAAUUCUUGAUCAAAUACUCACCCCUAGUAGCUGGUGAGCCUUGGAACAUGGUUGACUGAUAUGUACCAAGAAAGAUAUGAAGUUAGGGAAAAGAAGAGUUUUAAGAAGAGACUAAGGGGAUUGAAGGCCAUGGGGAGUAUGGAAAGUGAUUCAGAUUGAAGAUACAUCAAUGGCAGCAGCAGAGCCCUUUUUCUUUUUUGAUAUUUUUGGGGGAAUAUUUUUGGAGUUGAUGUUAAUGGGUUGGGGAAAAAAUAUAGAAAAGUUAAAACAAGGUCUGCUUGCUGGGGUUUGUUUCGUGUUUAGAUGUUUGAUAUUUUAUAUAUAUAAAUGAGAAUAAUUAUUGUUUUUGGAUUAA